rnacentral:piRNA from 1 species
CGUGGAACCCAGUCAGACGACGGG